rnacentral:lncRNA from 1 species
CGGAUUCUCCACGGCGACUUGAAGGAGAGAGCUGCCAUGAGAGAUCAAGCAAUCUCCAAGCCUAUGAACUUCUCCAAUUACAUUGCUCCACGUGUCAUUCCCUCUGUUCAUCACACCAUCCAACAUUAUGGUAACACAUUAUCCCAAUCUUUAUCUUUCUAUUGUUUUGUUCUCCUUUAAUAUAAGAUCUAGAGAUAAAUAAAUUAAGUUGAAUCAUGAUUUUCUAUGUGUGCUAAGAUCGAGAUAGUUAAGGUCCCAUUUGCUAAAAUUAUAUGGAUAAAUUCUGUUUUUUUUUCCUGGUAGAUUUAUAUGGUUGGUUGCUAAAAAAUCACUUGUCAAUUUCUUGAGGUAAAACUUACAAAAUUGUACAUAAUUUAUUUAUAUUGCACUCCUUAAAUACAAAAGUGACAUAUGGUUAUAAAAUGAAAUGAGAGAUUUUGUGGAGAUAGGAAAUAAAAGGUGAUUAGGGAUGAAAACAAAGAAGUCACUCUGCUGCCCAUUGAAUGACAAUCACUUGCUCAAGUUUACCAUCUCAGAAUUCAAUUUCAACUCACUAACAAAACAAAAAAAACCUAAUAUUUUACUUUUGAAGUGUUGUUUAUUUUCUCAUAGUUGUAUUCCCUGUGAAGUCCAGUGCUUAUGUUGAAUGAUUUAUUCAACACCCAAUAUGCUUCUGUUGGUUAAAGUCACAUAUAAUUUUGGAAUAUAUGCAGGCAAGAAUUCAUUCAUGUGGAUUGGCCCCAUGCCAAGAGUACACAUCAUGGACCCUGAACAACUUAAAACUGUGUUCUCAUUGAUCAAUGAUUACCAAAAGCCAACUGCUAGUUUGAAUCCCCUUGCCAAGUUGCUCGCUGAUGGACUUCUAAAUCAUGAAGGACAGAAAUGGGUCAAACACAGAAAGAUAAUUAAUCCUGCAUUUCAUUUAGAAAAGCUUAAGGUAUCAUCUUUCUCUUCCAUAUCACUUUUCAACUAUUUUAAAAUUAACUUUCACAAACAAAUAUAACAAGCUAGUUGUCUAUCCAAAUCUUAUAUAUGAGAGCAACAUGAAUACUUGGAAUCAUAUUUGUACAAUGAAUAAAGCACAUACUUAUUUGAACAAGAUAUAAACAUAUAAGCUUAUAAUUGUUACUUUUACCUUUGAGUAUCUUCGUUUCCUUAUUUACUUUUUAGGGACUGUCUUCAAAAUCCAAAGCAACCUUUGAAAAAAAAAAAAGAAUGGUUAAGAUUUGUUCUUGGUUUUUGGAAUUGGGUAUGAAUUCAAUGAAACAAGAAAUAUAAAAAAGGUGAUCAAAACUUGUUCUUGGUUUUAAGAAAUAGUUCUUUAGUAACUAUUUAUGUUUCUAGAACUCAUUGAACGUUGUCAAACAAUACAUAUAAUUUCAAGAUCUUCAUAUAUCAUACUCUUUUGUAAAAUCUGUUGAAAUAUAACCAGUGAUCAUACAUAUCUUUACAAUGGUUGUUAGGAUAUGGUACCAGCAUUCUAUCACAGUUGUGACGAGAUGAUUAGCAAAUGGGAAAGCAUGGUUUCAGUAGAGGGAUUUUGUGAGUUAGAUGUAAUGCCUUACCUACAAAAUAUGACUGCUGAUGUGAUUUCUCGAACUGCAUUUGGAAGUAGCUAUGAGAAAGGAAAAAAGAUCUUUAAGCUUCAAACUGAACUAGGUGAGAUGGUGAUGCAAUCUACCUUAGGGAUUUAUAUUCCAGGAUGGAGGUAAAAACCUAAUUCAUCUACAACAUUAUUAUAUAGAUCUAUGGUGAAAGAUUUCAUAUAUCAUGAUUUCUAUUUUGUGCAGAUUUCUACCCACAAAGUCAAAUAAUAAAAUGAAAGUGAUAAGUAAAGAGAUAUCAACUUUGAUCAUGGAUAUUAUAAAUGAAAGGGAAACGUCUAUGAAGUCAGGUGAAGCUAUACAAACUGACCUACUAAGCAUUCUCAUGGAAUCCAAUUUGAACGAAAUUAAACAACAUGGAAACAAUAAAGACAUUGGAAUGAGCAUAGAAGAUGUUAUUGAUGAAUGCAAACUAUUCUAUAUCGCUGGCCAAGAAACUACAGCUACAUUACUGACUUGGACGAUGGUAUUGUUGAGUUCAUACUCAGAAUGGCAAGAACGAGCAAGAGCAGAGGUAUUUGAGAUCUUUGGCAACAAGAAACCAGAUUAUGAUGGUUUAAGUCGACUAAAAGUUGUGAGUGUGAUGAUAUUCUUCUACAUUUACUUUAUUUUUUUUCUACUUUCCUCAUAUUAAUUUUACCUCGUAUAUGUUAAAUGCCCAUCUUCUUAUACAAAGCAAUCACAUUAGAGUUUUGGAGGUAAGAGUAGUCUAGAUAGGUUUCUAGUUCUAAUCUUAAUUAAACUGAACCAAGCCUAUUGCCUUUGGAUUGUGUAAGUUGAAAGGAUUUGGCUAUUUGAUAAACUUGACACCUAAGAAGUGUGAUCAUUUUCUUUCGAACUAGCAUGCUCAUGAGUGUUAGACACGAUGGUUCGUAUCAUACACUUGUUACUGCAAUAUAUGUUUUAGAAACUAGGUUAUACAAAGUAAUAGGUCCAACAAUUGUUAGAUAUGCAUUGAACAAUUGUUGAGCAUAUACACUAAAUACACAUAUAUGACAAAAAUAAUAAAAUUUGAUAGUGAAAUAUAAAUACAUCAAACUUAUUUCUUUAAGCAUAUAAAUGCAUACAGUAGUAAAGACUUCCUAAAGCUUUAGCUAAAUCAGUGACUGAGCAUAGUUCAGUCAGAUCAGCGACAAAUAAAUCAAUGUUGAAUUUCUUUCUCGCUUAAUAAUGAUAUUUAUAUAUUUUUUUAAGAAUAAAUGUGUCCUUGUCAUCUGUUUGUGUCAUAAAUUAAAAAAAGUGGCGUGUCACCGUAUAGUUGUCGUGUCAUAUCUAUAUCUUGUAUUUGUAUUUUUUUCUUAGUCUUGACACUUUAACAAGUGACUUUUGAAAGGAUCUAUUUCCUAAAAAUAUAUAUAUUAACUAACAGAUGGCAAAUGACUUUUGCAAUGACUCAGGUAACUAUGAUAUUGAACGAGGUUCUCAGAUUAUACCCUCCGGUGAGUAUGUUUGGUCGUUUAGUUAAAAAAGAAACAAAGCUUGGAAAGUUGACUUUACCAGCAGGAGUUAUGUUGGGCUUACCAGUUGUUCUUAUGCAAUGUGAUCCUGAGUUAUGGGGAGAAGAUGCACAUGAAUUUAAACCAGAAAGAUUUUCUGAGGGAGUUUCUAAAGCAGCAAAAAAUCCAGGUGCUUUUGUACCAUUUGGUUGGGGUCCUCGAAUAUGCAUAGGACUAAACUUCGCCAUGAUUGAAGCAAAAAUGACAUUAUCAAUGAUUCUACAGCGCUUCUCGCUUGAGCUUUCGUCAUCGUAUACACAUGCUCCCAUUGCUGCCAUAACAACACAACCUCAACAUGGAGCUCAUAUCAUACUACACAAAUUGGAAUUAGUUACUUAAACUAAGUAUUAGGUUGCACAUUAUCAAAAAGCUAAGGAAGUUCUGUGCUUCUGUGCUUUGACUAUAUAUAACUUCAAAUCCUUUUGAGAAAAAUGUACCCACGAAUGUUCUCAACUAAAUACCCUUUUCAUUGCUCACCAGCUCUCCUAAAUAAACAGUUUUAAGGGCAAUGACAUCCCCUUCCAUUUUCUGCUUGAGGUGAUAUUAGUGGUUGUAAUUGUACCAUUUAUGUUUAAAAUUUAUAAAACGAACGAAUCCACUGUUAGCCUGAACUUGAAGGGUAAGUCCAUACACUAAAAAUAAUUUAUGUUCCAGCUGAUUCAAAAUAGUCAAAUUUAUGCACUACAACUUUUGAAAACUGACCUUUCUCAUUGUCAUUUUAUCAAACACUUCAUCUGCAAUGUGUUCAUCAUCAGCAUUCUUGUUAACUUCAACCACAAAAUGUACCACAAGACAAAGAAAUAAUGUUCAAGAAAAGGUAUAAUAAUAUAAUUUCAAAUCCUUUGAGAAAACCAAGGAUGUGUGUAACUACGCCUACAUCACUUGUUUGAAGUAUGGUUUAGGCAUUAGAAGUUCAUAUGCAAAAAUAGAUCUCUUGUUUUGUACUCUUCUUUCAGACAAUAAAUAAAAUUUGGAUUUAAAUAUAAGAUCUUUCUGCAAAUUACCAAUCAAUCCAAAAGCUUAAAUAAAUUUAAUUAAUCAUAUAUCAUCAAACACGUAGAAAUCACGUUUGAUAUGAACAUGGACAAUAAAGUUGAAAAGAUAGCAUGAUUCACAUCAGGAGUAACAACUUAGGACUGAAAUAGACUAUGAGAAAUUGGCGUGUCCAUGCCACGUUCCAAGUGACCAAAUUGGCGUGUCCAAUGGCACCCCUCUAUCUCAUCUCUACUCAUCCAAAUCUAUAAAUUAAAAGGGCAAGAAAAUUAAAAUCCAGAAUCAAUUUUUCUAAUGUUAAAUUUAUUUUGUAUCAUUUAGUAGGAUUUUUAGAGUAUGUUAAAGACAUUAUUUUUUCUUUUAAAAAAAAACACUAUUAAUUACAUAAUUGUAUAUAUUCAGUUGAUUAUGUAUUUUAGAAGUAAAAAUACUUUUUGAUAUUUCACAUACGUUAAAAAUUAAGGUAAGGUUUUUGAAUUGAGUUGAUGAAGAGCAUUCCAAAAUGAUAUUUUUCAAAAAUACUAUAAUUAAAAUAUUUUUCAUUUUAAAACCAAUACUAUAAUGUAUAUUUCAACAAUUAAAAUAAUUGAUUUAUGGUCCACAUGUAAUUAUGACAAAUUGACUUCCUUCCCUCUAAUUUCAAUGAAUUUUUCUUGAACCUCAAGAAAAUAUUAAAAGAAUAUCUAUUUUUUUUAAUCUUUUUAUAAAGAAAAGUCUAAAAAAUAUAUCUUGGAGCUCAAGAUGAACUAUUUUUGUAAUCUUGUAAAGGUCUUUUGGUCAAUUUUCCCCUUUUAAAUUGCUUUAUUUUUAUUUUAGUUGAGUUUGAAUAUUGCAAUCAUCUUAUUUGGAAUAUUUAAAUCAAUAAUCUAUUAGUAUAUAAACAAGUAAAAUAGAACUAACGUUAUUUUAAAAAAGAUUAUACGUUGAUUUUGUUAUACUAAAAAUAAUUCUAAAAUUUUCUAUUUAAAUUAUAGUUGUACAUCGAUAUUUUUUUAGUAUAAUAUAUAUAAAAAAUACCAUUUAAAAUGAAAAAGAGUUGAAAAGAUCUAUAUAAAUCAUAGAUAGAAAGUAAACUUUUGGUAUAUAUUUUGUUUAGUAAGUUUAACUUAGCUCAUUGUCUCAGACUUUAAAACUAACCCUUUAUAUUUUCAUUUCAAAGAAAUAAAUAAAUACCAAUUAUUAAUGGGUUGGGUUAAAAUUAGAUUCAAAUUCAACAUUUAGGGCCGUUUGGGAAGGAAAAGAAAGGAAAUACUUGUUUGGCUUAGGGAUUAAGGAGGGAAAAUACUACCCUUAAUCCAUCUUAUUUAUUCUCUUUUUUCUCAUUUAUUACCCAUUUAAUCCUCUCAUUUUUCAAUAUAAUUUUUCUCUUUUUUCUUUAUUCUCUUUUCUCAUUUAUUUAUUUUUCUGUGCAAAUUAAUCUUUUUAUUUAUUCUCUUUUUUAAACAAAUUAAUCACCAUCUCUUAUUCUUCGUUCUAUUUGUGCCAAAUGAAUCAGUCAUCUUGUAUAGUAUGUUGCUUAUAAUUUUCGUGAAGAAAAAAAUUAAUAAAUGAAAGAAAAAAUAAAAACAACAAAAUACAAUUUUUUUAUUGUAAGUAUCGAUGAUACAAACUUAAAAUACAAAUUUCUUUUUGUAUUCUAUUUACGGUACAAUUUGAAAAAAUAUAUUUUACAUAAAUGAAAAAAAUAAUACAAUUUGUUUGUAUCGUCUAUUGUUUGUAUGAUCCGACUUUUUUUUUUUAUACAAAAUCAAUUUAAAAAUUAAUACAUAUUUGUUGUGUAUUGCGAUGUGUGUUGGGGUUACAGCAGAAAUGAAGUAUAAACAUUAUUUUAAUACAACUUUUCGUCGUUUUGGAAAAUAGUACGAACAAAAUAAAUAAGUUCAAACAAAUGCAAAUAUAUAUAUGUAUAUAUAUAUACAAUUUUUGUUUGUAUGUGGUUUACGAAAAACAUUUCAUAAACAUUUCUUACACACUAAAAAAAGAUGUAAUUCAAUUUCUUUUUCACAUGGGGUUGCGGUAGAAAAAAAAACAAAUAGUUGCCAUAAAUUUUUUAAAAAAGAGCAUAAUUUUAAUGUAUUGGAUUUACGGAUCAAAUUGAACUAUAAAUUGAAGACAAAUGAAAAAUUAAAUAAUACAAUUUCUGUGUGAAUUGAAUUUACUAUAUAAAUUUCGUAAACAUAUUUUACACAACAAAAAAAAUAAAUUAAUACACAUUAUUCUAUGUACUUGAUUUAAUGUUAAAAAAGAAAGAAAAAACUAUGGUACAAAUGAGACAAAAAAAUCUUUACUUUUCAAAGUAUAUUAGGUAUACGUUGUAAGUAAAAAAAUAUUUAUAUAAAAUAAAAAAAAGUACAAUUUUUUUUGUGAACGCAUAGAUUACGAUACAACCUAACUAAAAUAAUGAAUUUGAAUAUAAUUUUUUGUUGUAGAGGUUUUACCGUAUGAAAAAUUUACACAAAUGCAAAAAAUAUUAGCACAUUUUUCAUUUUGUAUUGGGUUCGUGAAAAAAAAAACAAUAAUUUCAUUUUAAGAAAAAAGUAAUUAUAUAUAUAUCAUAUUGGAGUUAAUGUACAAAUAAAAAAAAUUACACAAAUGAAAAAAAUACAAUUUUUUUUGUCAUAAUCCUUACCCCAAAUGAUCAUUCUCCCAAACAAGAAUUAUAAUAAUCCCUUCACUUAAUCAUUCCUCCAAAUAAGGAUUAUAAAUAAUCGAUCCUUUCACUUAAUCCUCCCCAAGCAAGAAUUAUAAUAAUCAUUUCCACCUCUUAAUCUUUUUUUAAUUCCUUUUUUUUCUAUUGCUUUCCUCCCCAAAUUUGAGUGAAGUGUAUAUUAAAAUAUAAUAACAAAAUGAUUUGGAUUGAAGCAAGUCAAAUUGCUUUUUUCCUCACUCAUAUGGGUUUAGAAAAGAAAGAGAAUUGACCAACAUUUAAUGCUUUUUCUCCACAAGAUAAAGGAAAUAGGAACAAACUAGGAAAAAGCAACCAUCAACAUUAUUGAGUAGAAAUUUCAACCAUGAUGGGUACCCUUCAAAUUGGAUCCUUAUCAUCUAAUAUCUUCCGUCCUAUAUCAUCUUUUGAUCUUAAAUAUAUAUUUUAUAUUGGUAGAGUUAUAUUUAUAUAUAUUCUUUUUAAUUAAAAAUGAUACAUUAAGUUGUUUAACUUUACGUAUAUUUAAGUGGUUGGUCACUACAAAGUCACAUAUUAAUUGAAUUAACAAAUAAAUAAUAUUUCCUUAUCAAGGAAAAGACUAAAAGAGAAAAAGAAAUAAGUAAAAAACACCAACACAAGCCAAUAAUUUAUUUUUUGUCCACUCAUCAUAUAAAAAACAUCCACAUCAUCUUUUGACGUUAAAGCCAUGGUUUCAAAACUUUAUAAAUUAUUUAUGAUAGGUUUAGAUUGAUAAGAAAAAAAAUGACUUAUUUUAGUAUUAAACACUUCAACAUUUCAAUCAAAUGCAUAUUUAGAACUAAUCAUAUUUGAUUCUAUAUAUUUAUGAUAAGUAAUAAUAAUUAAGUAUAUAUCAAAUUGGAAGAGUUUGAAAUUUUUUUGUUAUAUUUGUCUUUUUUUUCUUUGUUAUAUAUGCUAAUAUUUUAAAUUUAAUGGUUAUAUUUACUUCAUCCUAUUAUUUAAAAAAAUAUUUUACCAAAUUAUUAAAUUAAAAAGAAACAUUUUUAAUAUAUAUAUAUUUUUUUAAUUUUCCAAUAAUGAUAAUAUCCAUUAAAAUGAAAAAGAGAAAGAUUGUAAGGUUAUAAAUAGAAGAGAGAAGUUAGAGAAGUGAAUGCCCCAAAGUUAUUGUCUGUUUAAUAAACACAAUUUUGAGAACUCUGAGUUUCUUUGUUUACAAAGAUGUGGUAUGUUCCUGAUACGGUUUCAACUCCCACAGUAAUGAUAAUUAGUUUUGUUUUAGUGUUAUUAUUGUUAUUGGGAUGGAAAUUAGCUGAUUGGAUUUGGUUUCGGCCGAAGAAAUUAGAGAAGCUUUUAAGGCAGCAAGGAUUCGCCGGGAAUUCAUACCGGAUUCUCCACGGCGACUUGAAGGAGAGUGCGGCCAUGAGAGAGGAAGCAAUGUCCAAGCCCAUGAAGUUCUCCAAUCAUAUUGCUCCACGUGUCAUUCCUUCUGUUCAUCAAACCAUCCAGCAUUAUGGUAACACUUUAUCCCAAACUUCCUUUCUUAUUUUUCUUAUUUUUUUUCAGUAAUAAAGGAAAAUUGUCAAAAAUUUACCCUCAGUAAAAAUAUCCAAAAAUCAAGUGAUUUUGUUCGAUUUUGUUCUAUAUGGGUAAAUAAUUUGUCAAUUUUCUUUUUCUAUUUUUGAAAAAAAAUUAAUAAUAGAAUACACUAAAGUCAGUUUAUUGGGAAAAUUUUUAGUUUUAGAAAACUGGGUAUGAAAUGCCUAUGAUGCCCUUACAUGCUUCCUCCCACCUCACCUUUUUCUCUCAUUUUUUUCCCUCUAAUUUCUUUCUAACUUACUUUUCGUACUAAUAAAAUUGAUUUUAAAAUAUCAAAAGUAUUUUUCAUCAUUUUAUUUAGUCUUUAAAAUCAAUUUUAAAUCUCAUAAAAUCAAUUUUCAUAAAUUUGUUUGUCUACGAAUUGAUUUUACAAAAUUAGUUCUACUUAUUUUUUUUUUUCUUUUCAAAAUACUCCAACUAUCACUCUUAAACGAUAAGUACCGUAAUCAUAUAAUUUUUUUUAAUUUUUUUUAAAUAUUGUAAAAUAAAUUUAAAUAUAAAAAAAUAGCAAAAUAUCACUUCAAAUUGAGUUAAAAAAAUUUAAAACAUAAUUUUUUUUCUUUUUUAAAUAUACUAAACAAGGAGCUUUUUUUCGGGAAGAGCUCGCUUCCAGAAAAUUUCUUUCGAGAUUUUCCACCUCCACCCAAGUAAAAUUGAAGGGGAAUUAAUUUUCGUGAUAAUACAUGAAUGAAACGAGAGCACAAAAUACUUAAAAUUUUUGGUUAAAGUAUUCUUUAUUUUAUUUUACGUUUGUGUUUUCAUAGUUAAUUCAUUAAAGUUACCAAUAGUUUUGAAAGUAAAAUUUAAAGGACUAUUUUGUUUGAUUGGGAGUGUAGGGAAGAAUUCAUUCAUGUGGAUUGGGACAGUGCCAAGAGUGCACAUAAUGGAUCCUGAGCAACUCAAAACUGUGUUCUCAUUCAUCAAUGAUUUCCAAAGGCCAACUAUGAAUCCUCUUCUCAAGUUGUUUACAAAUGGUCUUUUCAGUCAUGAAGGACAAAAAUGGGUCAAACAUAGAAAGAUUAUAAGCCCUGCAUUUCAUUUAAAGAAGCUUAAGGUAUCUCUAUCUUUUUCUUUCUCUCCCUAUAUGUAUAUAUAUACAUAUCUCAUUUUUAAACUAUUUUAUCAUAAUCUUACUAGCUAUGACCAACAUACUCUUACAUUGCCCUAUAUAUAGGAUAUGAUACCCGAAUUCUAUCAUAGUUGUAACGAGAUGGUUAGCAAGUGGGAAAGCAUGGUCUCUGAAGAGGGAUCUUGUGAGUUAGAUGUAAUGCCUUAUCUCCAAAAUAUGGCUUCUGAUGUGAUUUCUCGAACUGCAUUUGGGAGUAGCUAUGAAAAAGGAAAAAAGAUCUUCGAGCUUCAAUCUAAAUUAGGUGCCUUUGCAAUUCAAUCUAGCUUAGGGAUAUAUAUUCCAGGAUGGAGGUAAAACUUAACCCAUCUACAACAUUAUGAUACAUCUAUAGACUAUGGUGAAAGAUUGUAUAUCAUGAAUUAUGUUUUGUGCAGGUUUCUACCCACGAAGUCAAAUAAUAAAAUGAAAGAGAUAAGUAAAGAGAUAUCAACUUUGAUAUUGGGUGUUAUGAAUGAAAAGGAAAAGUCUAUGAAGGCAGGUGAAGCUAUACAAACUGAUCUACUAAGCAUUCUCAUAGAAUCCAAUUUGAAUGAAAUUAAAGAACAUGGAAACAACAAAGGCAUGGGAUUGAGCAUACAAGAUGUUAUUGAUGAAUGCAAGCUUUUCUAUAUUACUGGUCAAGAAACUACAGCAACAUUACUAAUUUGGACGAUGGUAUUGUUGAGUUCAUAUUCAGAAUGGCAGGAGCGAGCAAGAAAAGAGGUAUUUGAGAUCUUUGGCAACAAGAAACCAGAUUAUGAUGGUUUAAGUCGGCUAAAAGUUGUAAGUGUGAUUAUAUUCUCCAACAUUUACUUUCUAUUUAUUUAUUUUUUCCAUUUUAAUUUCAUCUCAUUUGUGAAAUUUAAAUGUCAACCCUAUGAAUCAAAACAAUCCCAUGAGAUAGUUUUGAAUAUAUGAAUAUUCAACAAAGGUUUCUUAGCUUAAUCUCAAUCAAGUGUAUUAACUUUGGAUUUUGUAAAUUGAAACUAUAAAGGUCAUUUGAUAAAGUACUUGGCAUAUAAGAAGCACAAACAAUUUGAUUUGGCUAGCAUGUUUAUGUGUGUCAAGCACUUAUGGUCAUUUUUUGACAUGAUUCAAACACUUGUUAGUGCAAUAGAUGUGUGAUAGAAACUAGGUGUACAAAGUCAAGUAGGUAUAACAUUUAUUAAAUUUAAUAGUUGUUGAGUGUACUAAAAUAGACAAUAUAUGACCAGAAUAAUAAAUUUUAAUAGCAAAAUACAUCAAACUAAUUUUUCUAGGUUUUGUAAAAGUGAUAUGCCACUAAAUGGAUAUCGUGUCAUAUUUAUAUCUUGUAUUUGUAUAUGUGUUUCUUUGCUAGAUAGCAUGUUGGCAAGGAGUGAGUACAUCGUCUUUGACGUGUGGCUUUUGGGAAUGUAUCCUAAAAGGUUAUGUAUUAGCUAAUAAAUGAUAAGUGACUUUUGCUAUGGCACAGGUGACUAUGAUCUUCAAUGAGGUUCUCAGGUUAUACCCACCUGUGAGUAUGUAUGCUCGUACUGUGAAUAAAGAAACAAAACUUGGAAAUUUGACUUUACCAGCAGGAGUGAUGUUGAGUUUACCAAUUAUUCUUAUCCAAACUGAUCGUGAGUUAUGGGGACAAGAUGCACAUGAAUUUAAUCCAAAUAGAUUUUCAGAAGGUGUUUCUAAAGCAACAAAAAAUCCAUGUGCUUAUGUACCAUUUGGUUGGGGUCCUAGAAUAUGCAUAGGACUAAACUUUGCCAUGAUUGAAGCAAAAAUGGCAUUAUCAAUGAUCCUACAACGCUUCUCAUUUCAGCUUUCUCCAUCAUACACACACACUCCUAUUGCAGGUUUAACAACACAACCUCAACAUGGAGCUCAUAUCAUACUACACAAACUCUAGCUACCUUCUUAAACUAUGUACUAACUUGCACAAUUAUCAUAGUUAAGAAUAGGAAUGUUUGCUAUUUUUGCUUGUAAUUUCCAAUACUUUGCGAAAAAGUUAGCUACACAUGUUCUAGAUAUAUUUUCCUUUCAACUAAAUUCUCUUUUUCAUUUUUCACUAGCUCUUAAAUAAACAAUUUUCAAGAUAAUAGCAUCUACUCCUUUUUCAGCUCGGGAUGAUUAAUUAAUCCUUGUAAUUGUACCAUUUUUGUCUAAUAUGAAGAAAAAAUCUCAAUAGUCAUAAAUAAUUAGUUCAUUAUUCAACAUGGUGAAGUUUACGCCCUGAAACUGACCUUUUUUUUUUUUGCUCAUAGUUAUUUUUCUGCAAUGAGCUUCUCAGCAACAUUCUACUAAACUUCUACCAUAAAAAAAACAUACAACACAACAAACAAAUAUUCCAAAUGAGAUUAUGAAACUAUACCCACAAACUGUAAUACUCAUUACAUAUAAAUUCAAGAAGAGGGUGUAAUUCUUGGAAACAACGUGUAACUACAACUACAUUAUUAAUUUGGACUAAGUCUUUUUUAUUGAGCUCAUACUUGCAAAAGCAAACAAGAAUAGAGGUCAUGGAAGUCUUUGUACACUACUACAAAACUGGUUUUACUUGACACUUAAAACCGGACAAUGUUCUUAUUAUAUUCAGUAGGCUUUUUAUAAUAUGAUCCCUUACGUAGAUGUCCUAGUUAAUAUGAGUAAUGCAAUACCUUUUCAAUCAGAUUCAUAAAAGACAACACAUUUGCAAUGUCGUAUAGCCGCCUUACGUUAGUUGUAUAUAAUAAAAGAUGUAAUUAUCAAGCAUUUCCCCGUUCACAUUCUAAAAUUAAUAUCAAAGUUCAAGAUUUCUUACUUCUCAUUAUUAAUGAAUUGUAGUCAUCUCCUAAUAAAAGCUUAGCAACUUUGUCAAGGGAAAUCAUAUUCACCUAUAAACCCAAUUUCUAUUAGUUAACGGAAAUCGCAAAGAGGCUCAUCAACAAACAGUAAACGAUAAGGUGGUUCAAUUUUUCACUCACAUGACUGCAGAUAAAUAGCUUAACAAUUUCCAAAUUUUGUCUGCAGAUACUAAUAGAAAGUGUAAGGGAAUCUCAUUGUGGGGGGCUACCCAAUUUUAUCUAGCACAACAAACAUAAAAGUUGGAAAUUGAACUACAACCAUACAAAAUGUUGUCCAAAGACAGUUGCAGUUGAGGUCUGGCUGCCAGUUGGAUUGGAAAAUCUUUCAUCCUCAUCUUCAUCAUAUCCAAGACCUAAAUGUGACCAAAUGCAGGACAAGGAAUGGUCAAAUUCCAACCCAUAUACAUGCAACAAAUGGGAAGAAAUGAGGAAAUUUGAACUAAAAAAGGAAAAAUAAACUGGCUUACUUUUGCAUAAUAGUUACCAUCAGAUGCCCAGCAAUUCUCCCUCAAUCCCUCUUCCUAUCAAAUAAUUCAAAACAAAUUACGCCAUUUCCAUAACCCCAAAUGGAGAAAACAGCUGAAAUGAAAUCAGUCCCAACUUUAUUUCUCCCUAGGAAAUUUAUACCGUAAAUAAGAAAGAUAAGUUUAUAAAUAAUCCAAUUUGACCACAGUAAAUAAGGAAGAUAAGUAGGACCUAAACUUAAUUUUUGUGUAUAAUUGAAUUAGUCACAUUUAAGCUAUGUAGACAGACCAUACCCACAAGGCAACCAAGUCUAACCCUAACGAGAUCCACAAACCAACAAGUACAAAUACUGGUUGCUAUUUGCUUGAAUAUUGUAUACAACCAAAAUGUAUAGAACACAAUGACACCUUGGCAAUGAAUUAUUAAAUAAUUAAGACAUUACAAAUAUAUAAUUGCCUCUUAAAAAAACAAAAAAUUAAUCACCUUUAUUAGUAAAAAAAAAAUGUAAUUAAGCUAAUCAAAGAAUAAUUCCAAACACACCACUGUCCCUUUUCUUUAUACUAAAAAACAGAAUCUAAUUAUACAAAAAUUCAAUAUUAAUCAAAGUCUAAAUUAUUAAAAUUACAAAGGAGCACAAAAGUCCCUAAGUUUUAUUUAUAUAUUACAGCAAAUAAUAGUCAAUACAUCUCUAUAUAGUUGAAGAAACUAGAACACAAGACAAAAAACAAAAAACAGAGCAUCAAUGAAAGAACUUAAAAACAAAAAUCAAAAUUCAAUAUCUUCAUUUCCAUCUAGGAUAAUGAUUCUCCUUCUUGCUGUUCUUAAAAGCGCAGCAUCAAAAUGGAGUAAACAAUGAUGAGAAACACAAGUAUAACAAUAUUAGUGAUCGCCACCUUCUUCCAGUUCCUCUUCAAAUUAUCCAACACUCCACCUCAACAAAGCCAUUAACUGUCAAUCUUAAUACAAAGAACAACCACUUCACCAAAAAUUGAAGAUGCAUCUUCACCAACACCUAAGAUAAUUUACAGAAAAAGAAUCGACUUAUCCUCAAGGAAAAGAAAUAUUAGUGAACAAAUAAACUGUCAGCGGUAGUAAAAAGAAAAGAAAUAGCUUAAUAACAUUCAAUGUACCUGGUAAAAAAAUUAUACACACAACUAAAGUAUCAUGGGAGACAACUGUACAAAUAUAAUCUACUCAAACUUGAAACAAAUCAAUUCAAUCUGAGUGUUCAUUUCCUACAACGUGGAUAUCAGUAUAUACCUAAUACACAAAGUUCUUAGUAAGCGCACCACAACAAAGGAUCUAGAGAUAAUGUUGUUGUAAUUUAUGUCCUAAAACUCUUGUAAAUAUAAUUCAUUAACCGUUUUAAUAAAAUGUUAUUAAUGUAAUAAUUGUUAUUAAUUAUGUUAUUAGUUUUGUUUUAAUGACUCAAAUUCAAUAAAUUAAUAUUCUAAGCUGUAUAAUGAGUUUUGAACAUAUUUAGAGACAUACAAUGAUCAAUGUUCGAGAUCAGCUUAAAGGAUUUACAGUAUAGAGAUAAGGAUGAGUACCUUAUCCUGGUAACACAAUGGAUAUGACGAUUUGUAUGGGUGAGAGUCGUCAAAUCGCCGACUUAAUAAGCUUAUCAUUUUGGGGACAAGACCGAGUGGGGAGCUGGGAACAUAAUUACACAAGAUAGAAUUCACUCAUUCCCUAUUUUAAGGUAAGUAAAUGGGUGUUCCCUUAAAUGAUGUCUCCAGGUCUUGAACAAAGAACCCUACCCUCUCUAUGGAACAAGAGAAAUUUUUGUUUAUUGGUAGAACCAUAAACAAGUUGUUCAUUGGAGAAACACUAAUAUUUAAGGAUUAGAGGUAACCUAGGGGUAAAACAGUAAAUUGACACAGCUGGUGUUAUGAACACUCGUGAAGGACUAACUUAUUGUUAUUGGUCUAUAUCCGUGGACACAAAAAUAUAUCUAAAGUGAGAAGAAAACAAUUUUCUUUAACUUAAACCAACAAAAUUCAUUAAGAAAAAAUCUCUCAAAUAUCUUUAAACAUUUUCCUUUCCAAUUGGUUUCUACAAACCAAUCUCGUCCCAGAUGAUAGGAAGGUCUCCGACGGGUGGUGUCCCUAGUGAUUUGUAGAUAGAGAGACGUCAUCGAAAGUAAGUUCUAUGAAUCUUUUAAUUUAAAGGCAUGCUUAGUUUUUAUUUAGAAUUUUGAUUCUAAAAUUUUGUCAAUGUACUGCUAUUUUAACAUUCUCAAAUUAGUUUGGGAAACGGUUCUUUAAAUUCUUCUGUUACGUAGGGUUUUUAUCCCUUCAAUAUAUAUGUCAAUAUAAGUCUUCUUAUUUUGUUGAAAAAAUACGAAAACACCUAAAAAAAAUAUGGAUUCUUGAUUUUCUUGAUGGGUAAAGUUUUCUUAGUUUCGUUGAUGGCCCACAAACAUCAAGAAAACUAUUUCUUGAUGGAUAAUAAACAUCAAGAAUAACAUAUUAAUUAGUUGAUUAACAAUGCCCAUCAGAUUAAUUAGGUUUUCUUGAUGGAUGAGGCCCAUCAAUGAAUGAAUUUUCUUGAUUUGCAAUGGCCAUCAUCGAAAAAAAAUAAUAUAUUUGUUUUGGAUUUCUUGAUGGGUUUAGAAUUUUCUUGAUGAAUCUAGGAUUUCUUGAUGCACAAAAACAAAAAACAGAUCAUCAACAAGGUCCAUUAAGAAAAAUGAUAUCUUAAUGGACAUCGUAACCAGUGGUGUUCAUUCUAUUUUCUAAUAUUUUGUCUAUUCGUUGGUCUACAUACUUAAUUUGGGUGAUUUUCAUAAGGAUAACACAGGAAUGAAAGAUGAAUUAGGAUUGGAAAAUGCUCAAAAAAAAUGGUCUUUCUUUAAUGUCAACCAUGUAUGAAUGUACCCAUUUCUUGUUUACUCCUCUCACUCCUCAUUCCAUCCUCUUAUUUCUUACUCACGUUCCUCGUCAACAUAGCAUUAAACCACUUUUGAAUUUUCUUUUCCAUAGUUGAUUCUAACAGAAAGAGGAGAAGAAAAAAAAAGUGAAAACGAAAAAGACAGGAAGAUAUGUUAGAGUCUAAGGAUGAUAGCUAUUAGAUUCAAAGUAUUAACAUAAAUGGUAACAUUUUGCAAAAAAAUAUUACAAAUAUAACAAAAUAUGUUAGAGUCUAAAAGUCUAUCAACAACUUUGAUAUAUUUGCAAUUUUUAAAAGUGUUAUUAUACAUUUCAUAAUUAUCUCUAAAAUUGCUACAUGAACACUAUUAUAUGUGUGAUGUCGAUCGAUCGGUGAGUCUAAAAUCUCAUUGUACCUACUCUUAUAGAAUAAAUAGUCAAAUUUUGCAUGUGUCAAAACUGAUACUGAUGACACCCAUUUGGUUGGUUUUAGUAAACCAGAACGAAUUUUGGGCCCACCCAUGUUUGAGAGUUAGGUUGUAUAUAAUUGAGUUGAAUUGGAUUAAUGAUAUUUGUUGCAUUUAUUUAUGACCUAAAUUGUUUUUGUAUUAGUUAUCUUUGUUUACUUAACCUUUUACAUAACUAUUAAUUAUCCAUUAUGCUUAUAAUAUACAUAUAGCCACGUGUCACCUUUCCUCACAUCCAACUUCUAUGUCAUAUCUUGACUAUGUAAUCCACGUCAUGGUUAUCAAAUUGUUUAUAAAUAGAGACAUUUAGUGAGUUUUGAAGAAUACACAUAUCGGUGAAAUGUCCAAAGAAACGAAAGAAAGUGGACUUUGUGGAGAUUUUAGUUUGAGAUUUUCUAAUUUCUAACAUUUCUUUAAUUUUUAUUUUCUUUCUUUAUUUUAUUUAGAUUUUUUUUUAAAAAAAGUAAAUUUUAUAAAAUAAUUAACAGUUAUAACAAAUUCUAUGCUGAUAGUCGUUGAUAUGCUAUAUUAGUAGAAUCCAAAAAUUUACUAACUUAUGUAUAUUUUAUUUUAUUUUAUUAUUUUUAAAAAUGUUUCAUUUAUUUUAAUAUUAUAUAUUUUCAAUUUUUGUAUUUUGGCUAUGCCUUAUUUUUACACAAGAAACUAUUGCUUAAAUGAAACUACCAUAUAUAUUUGCUUUCAUAUGAAUUUUAGAAGCAAAAGUAGUAUUUGAUAUUUCAUAUUAUGUUGAAAAAAUAAGAAUAGGUUUUCAAUAAUUUAGUUGACGAAGACCCCACCAAAAUGAUAUUUUUCAAAAAUACUAUUAACCGUCAAAAUAUCAAUGUGUGGACUAUAUAAUAUAUCUUUCAAUAAUUCAAUUAAUGAUUGUCCUAUCUAAUUACGACGAAUUACAAAGGUUACGUAAAUGACAUGACUACUUCCUUCUAUCAAUUUUUCUUGGACCUCAAGAAUAAACAUAUAUAUAAUAUAUAGACUUUCUUUUUUGUUUUUGAAAAAAUCUAAAUUUGUAUCUAUUUCAACAAGUAUAGAACAAUAAUAUUCUUGGACUUCAAGUAAACUAUUUUUGUGACUUAUUACGUGGAAUUGAUUUAAGAAAAAAAAUACUUUUGUUUCCAUUUUUUAAAUUAAAUAUUUUAAAAUAUAUUCCAAACACACUUUUAAUAAUAAUCAUUGCUGAAAAAAAAUGUACCUAAGCUCUCUAUAAUUUAUUAUUGAUUGAAAGCAUGGUGUUGAAGGUUUGAACCUACAUUUUAAGUAUCUAAAAACAUAUUUUUUCUUUUUGUUUUUUUCUAUAGUAUUAACAAAUAAAAGAAAAGUAAUGAACAUCAUUUAAACUUCAGAGACAAAAUAUAAAAUAUAUAUCAGUAGUAGGUUCAGAUUGGCUUCUAAAUCAACUUAGUACAUUCAAAAAGUCAUAAAAUUAUUAUAAUUUAAGUAGUCAAAUCAUUGUUCGAAUUUAGUGAUGAUUUAAUUUAAGAUUUUAUAAAUAUCUGGAAAUAAAAAAUGUCUAGAAAAUAUGCAUGAUGUAUGAAAAUAAAAAAAAAAAUGAUUAUGUUUGGUUGUCGUGAAAAGUGCUAUGGAAAUUUUAUAAAAAAAAAUGUGUUCUGUAUUUUAUUGUUAAAAGUUGAGUAAUUAAGUAAUUAAUAAUUAAAAUUAACCAAAAAUCAAAGUAAUUGUCCAAUUAAUAUAUUUUAAUGAAAGUGUUACUAAUUAAUAAAUUGUGGAUGAAAAUGUUAUUAACUUUUCCUAAGAGUAAUUAAUGUCUGUUAUUUUUGUUGUUGUUGGACAUAAAUAAAUGAUAUUUUAUCUAAAUUGUUUGAUUCCUUAAAAAAAAAACCUGACAAAUUGUAUGCAAUAAUAAAGUAUUAAAUCAUCCAAAUUUAAUUUUCAAUAAUUUGAUUCUAAAGUUUAUGUCACUGAAUUUUCAAAUUCAAUCAGUUAGGGUAAUUAUUUUCUACGCAUGGUAGCCGUUUUUCCUUUUUAAAAAACUCUUAAUUUUUAUUAUAUAUAUAUAGUGAUAAAAAUUGCAAAGAUUUUGGAGUUAUAAAUAGAAGAAUAGAAACGUUAGAGAACUCUAUACCCAAUCUUAUUGUUUCUUCAAUUAUUGAGAUUUCAAAGAUGUGGUAUGCUCCCGAUACAAUAAUAAGUAUUGUUUUAGUGUUAUUAUUAUUAUUGGGAUGGAAAUUAGCUGAUUGGAUUUGGUUCCGCCCCAAGAAAUUAGAGAAGCUUUUAAGACAGCAAGGAUUCGCCGGAAAUUCUUACCGGAUUCUCCACGGCGACUUGAAGGAGAGAGCCGCCAUGAGAGAAGAAGCAAUGUCCAAGCCCAUGAACUUCUCCAACCAUAUUGCUCCACGUGUCAUUCCCUCUAUCUAUCAUACCAUCCAACGUUAUGGUAACACUUUUAUUCCCUAUUUUUCCUUCUCAUAUAUCCUUUUCUUCUUCUUCUUCAAAUAAGAUUUCAAAGAAAUAAAUUAAAAUUAGGGUUUCAUUUGGUAUUGAAGAGCUGUGUUUUAUAUGAUUACAUUUCUAUUUACUGUUUGAAAAUUAAUUUAUUACUUCUAUCCAUUUUCAAUCAAUGUUUUACAAAAGUAAUGCAAAUUUUUAAAGACUAAAACUGCUCUAGUCUUUUCCUUUUCAGAAUUUACUUAUUUUUACUUCACAAAAAUGAAAACCAUGGUAUGCAAUUGGGAGGCUUAAUUUAAUUUCUAUCUUAAAAGAAUGUAAAAAAAAAACAAUUUGUAUGCUCUCAUGGAAGUAACAUAUAUACUAUGUAUUUGCUGAAAAUAUUGAGUCACUAGUUAGUUUAUCGAUUUAUUUAGGAAAGAAAUCUUAUUAAAUUGUAACACUAAAUUCUAAAAUAGAGAUUAAAUAAUUACAAAUUUUAAAGAAUAGUAACUAAAUUUUUCUAUAGUAAAGAUCAGGGACUAUGGAUUAAAUCGUGAUAAAAUAAAGUAUAAAAACUAAAUUGCUAUAUUAUUGUAUAAGAACUAAGUUAUGUACUGGGAUUUUAAUAUAUUCAGCAGCCAACCUAUAUUUACAUACAUAGUUUAACAGAAUAAAAUAUAGAUAGGAUAGAAAAAUAGAAAAUUUAUUGUAAUGGGAAGAAGUAUUGUUCAAAAUAGUAACAUGUAUCGCUUUAGUAAAAUGGUGCCUAAAAUGGAUUAUCAUCAACUCCCAAUAUGUUGAUUUUAAACUGUGCAGGCAAGAAUUCAUUUAUGUGGCUUGGUCCCAUACCAAGAGUGCACAUAAUGGACCCUGAACAACUCAAAACUGUGUUCUCAUUCUACAAUGAUUUCCAAAAGCCAACUAUGAAUCCCUUUACCAAGUUGCUUGUACAAGGAAUUGUAAAUCUUGAUGGAGAAAAAUGGGUCAAACACAGAAAGAUAAUCAACCCUGCAUUUCAUUUAGAAAAGCUCAAGGUAUCUAUAGCUUUUUCUAAAAGUGAAAGAGAUGACUAUUUCAGUUUUUUUUUUCUUUCAAAAUACACUUUUAUUAUUAUCUAUAGUUCCUAAGAAACAAGAAAUGCAAUAAGAAAACGAAAAAAAGUUAUCAAACGAAGUACCUAAUUCUAAGUUCUCACACAUACCUUUACAUUGGCUCGUAGGAUAUGGUACCAGCAUUCUAUCACAGUUGUAACGAGAUGGUUAGCAAGUGGGAAAGCAUGGUCUCUAAAGAGGGAUCUUGUGAGUUAGAUGUAAUGCCUUAUCUAAAAAAUAUGGCUUCUGAUGUGAUUUCUCGGACUGCAUUUGGGAGCAGCUAUGAGAAAGGAAAAAAGAUCUUCAAGCUUCAAACUGAACUAACUAAUUUUGUGAUUCAAACUACCUUAGGGAUAUAUAUUCCUGGAUGGAGGUAAAAACACUAUUUAUAUCCAACAUGAUUGUAUAUACAUCUAUUGUGAAAUAAUUCAUGUCAUGAUUAUUAUUUUUUGUGCAGAUUUCUACCCACAAAGUUAAACAGAAAAAUGAAAGAGAUAAGCAAAGAGAUAACAACUUUGAUAUUGGGUAUUAUGGAUGAAAGAGAAAAGUCUAUGAAAGCAGGUGAAGCAAUACAAACUGAUCUAUUAAGCAUUCUCAUGGAAUCCAAUAUGAAUGAAAUUAAACAACAUGGAAACAAAAAAGACAUUGGAAUGAGCAUAGAAGAUGUUAUUGAAGAAUGCAAGCUUUUCUAUAUUGCUGGCCAAGAAACUACAGCAACAUUACUAGUCUGGACGAUGAUAUUGUUGAGUUCAUACUCAGAAUGGCAAGAGCGUGCAAGAGCAGAAGUCUUUGAGAUCUUUGGUAACAAGCAACCAAAUUAUGAUGGUUUAAAUAGACUAAAAGUUGUAAGUGUGAUAUCAUUCUCCAACGUUUACUCUCUAUUAAUCUUUUUUUUUUCAUUUUGAUUUCAUCUCAUAUGUGAAAUUUAAAUGCCCAUCUUCUAGUAUAAAACAAUCACAUGAGCAAGUUUUGGAGGUAUGAGUGAAUAUUCUUGGAAUGUUUUCUAACUAAAUCUCAAUCAAGCUUAUUGUCUUUAGAAGUUGAAGAGUAUAAAGGCUACGUGAUAAUUAAACUUGACAUCUAAGAAGCACAAACAUUUUAAUUUAACUAGGGUGUUUGUGUGUCAGACACUUAAGACACUCUAAUAGGUUUCAAACACCUUGUUAGUAUAAUAGAUUUAUGUUAGAAAACUAGUUGUACAGUGUCAAACAAGUCCAACAUUUAUUUAUAUGCAACCAAUGAUGAUUGGUAUACUAAAUAAUUUAUAAGCAUAUAAAUGAAGGACUUCUUUGACCUUGAAGUUUUUUUCUUGUAUAAAACUGGAUUAAACAUGUCCUUAUAAUGCCCAUGUCCUCAUUUAUAACAGUGGCCACUAUGUGGUCUCGUGUCGUGUCAUAUUCAUAUAUUGUAUUUGUAUAUGUGUUUCUUAGCAAGAUAAGUUGUAAAAGAGUGACACAUUGGCAUGUGACUUUUGAGAAUAAUGUGUCCUAAAAAGGUAUGUACAUGACAAGUGGCUUUUGCAAUGGUGCAGGUAACUAUGAUCUUCAAUGAGGUCCUCAGGUUAUACCCACCAGGGAGUCUGUUUGUUCGCAUUGUUAGGAAAGAAACAAGACUUGGAAAUUUGACUUUACCAGGAGGAGUAAUGUUAGGCUUACCAAUUGUUCUUAUCCAACGUGACCCUGAGUUAUGGGGAGAAGAUGCACAUGAAUUCAAUCCAGAGAGAUUUUCUGGAGGAGUUUCUAAAGCAACAAAAAAUCCAAGUGCUUUUAUACCAUUUGGAUGGGGUCCUAGAAUAUGCAUAGGACAAACCUUUGCUAUGAUUGAAGCAAAAAUGGCAUUAUCAAUGAUUCUACAACGUUUCUCAUUUGAGCUUUCGCCAUCGUACACACACUCUCCCAUUGCCAGUUUAACAACACAACCUCAACAUGGAGCUCAUAUCAUACUACACAAACUCUAGCUACCCUCUUAAAAUAUAUAUUAUUAGCUUGCAAAUUAUAAAAAGGCUAGGAAAGUACUCUGCUGCUUUGUCUAUGUAUAAUUUCAAAUCCUUUGUGAAAAAGAUACCUACACAAGGAAUUGAUAUCCUUUCAACUAGACACCUUUUCACUGCUACCCAGCACCUAAAUAAUAAACAGUUUUCAGGCUUGGGAUGUGAUUAAUGCUUGUUAUUGCACCAUUUUCUACUAAUAUUCACAAACUUUUCACCAUUUGAAAGGAAACUCAAUAUCCCUAGUCAAAUUUAUGCACUACAACUUUUGAAAACUAACCUUUCUUUCUCAUUAGUCCCCCUCAACAGCAUUCUACCAUAAAAUAUUCCAUACAUAAAACAAAAUGAUCAAAAUGAGAUGAUGAGACUGUAAACACCAAUUGUAAUACCCAAACACAGAAAUUCAAGAAGAGAAGUCUGUAAUUCUUGGAAACAUCUAACUAAAAUAACAUUAUUAGUUCAGACUAUAGUUUUGUUUGAUUAGAGUUCAUACAAAAGUACAUAAAUAAAAAUGGUCAAAAUCUAAAUGGUUGCGUUGCAUAUAUAAAUGACAACACAACAUGACAUAGAGGUAACUAAGAUUUGUAAAUGAGAUAAUUCUUAGACCAAUGGAUCAAGUCGUGCAAAAUGAAACAAAACUUAACCAACUAUUUUACCUAAACUGAUUGGGAUUUAUGGGGUGAGGGGCACAUGAGUUUACCAAAAAAAAUUAGAUAAAAGUUUAGUGAUAAUAAUCACUAAUACUUCUAACUAUAAAUAUUUAAAAAUGGAGUGAUUGAUAAUUAAAAUUAACCAAAAAAUUAGAAAAGGUAACUGAAUAAUAAAUUACAAACUCUAAAUAGAAAAUUUUGAGACCAAUCACAAAUUGUCACAUCAUUUACUAAAUUAAUGAUGAAAAAUACAAAUAUUUAAAUUUGAAACUAAUUAAAAAAUUGACAGGUGUCCUAAAUUAAAAUUGAAAACAUAAAUGAGUCAAUUCUAAUGAUGUCACAUGUUUUCAUUAUGACCGUUGGAUCAAGUUAAUUAUUUUGGUUCAAUUAAAUAUUAUGUACUUGAGCUAAGUUCAAAUGAGCCCAAAAGUAAGCUUAAUUUAGCUCGAAUACUAAAUAUGACCCAUAUCCAUAUUCAUGUGGUUAAGUCCAUAGGUCUAGUCCAUAGACCAACUAGACUCAACCCAUAAAGUUCAUCAAAGAACUCUAUAAAAAGAGGAGUUCUCCUCAUUUGUAAGAAGUUGAUCACCCUUGAAGAUUGAAGCUAUUUUGAAGAUACAAGAUAUCUUCCAAGACUCCAACUUCAACAAGCUCUCUUCCAAUACUCCAAAGAAUUUACCCAAGAGCUAGAAGACUCCCUAGCUUCUGAAGUCGACCGACCUCGAAGAUUAAAGCUCAUUUGAAGAUACAAGAUCUCUCUUCCAACACUCCAACUUCCCUCGAAGAUUAAAGCUCCUUUGAGUUUUCUUCUAAGACUCCAACUUCUCCAACUUCAAGAACAUCACGUGCUUUGCUUCCUCCAAAUCAAGCGUAGACGUUCAAUCGAGAGAGAAUCAAAUGAUCAAAUUCUAGCAAUCGAACCACAUCGCAUCAAAUCAACAAAACUAUAACAUCAACUUAAGUUCAACUCCACAAAUCAAAUUUCUUCAAAAAUCUUGUGCGAACAAAUUGGCAUGUCCAGUAAGACCUCUCUAUUUCUCAUCUCUCUCUCGCAUCAAAUCAACACAAGCACAACAUCAACUCAAGUUCAACUCCACGAAUCAAAUUUCUUCGAAAAUCUCGUGCGAACAAAUCUACAUACCUAAACCCAUGGACUCAACCACAUGGAUUUUGGUCAUAUUUAGCAUUUGGGCUCAAGUAAUCUUAUUUUUGGGCUCAAUUGAACUUAGCCCAAGUAAACAAUAUUUAAUUGAAUCAAAACAAUUAACUUAAUCUAACGGUUAGGAUGAAAACAUGUGACAUCAUCAUAAUUGGCCAAUUUAUGUUUUCAAUUUUAAUUUGGGACGCAUGUCAAUUUUUUUAAUCAGUCUCAAAUUCAAUUAUUUCUACUUUUCAUCGUUAAUUUAGUAAAUGAUGUGACAAUUUGCGAUUGGUCUAAAAAUUUCCUAUUCAACCGCUGAAAAUGGAACGAAGCAUGAGCUUUCCACACCGAUGACCAAUGCCCAUUGCCCGUUCUUCUUUUUACCAAAUAGGCCAUUAAUAAUAAAAAUAUCUUUUUAACUUUUCUCAUAAGAUAAAGAAAAGUGAACAAAUUAAAAAAAACACACAACAAUCAAAAUUAAACUGGAAUUUCUUCUAUGAUGGAUAAAUCUUCAAACCAAAUUGUUUGUGUGUUUAAUCUUUAAACACAUUAAAUUAAGUAAGCUCAUGUACAACAAAAUUAAAGACACUCCUAACAAAGGAAGUAGUCUAAUGCAAUACAACGAGAAUGAAUCUCACUAUAAUAAUAUCCUUAGACACAACGAGGAAUGAUGAAUAAAAUUUUGUAGUUUUACAACGAUGAUUGAUGACAUAUUUGUUAAAAGUAUAUGCAUCUACAAAAGAGAAAACACAACGUCCAAGAGACGAAUACAAAUUUUGUCCAACUUUCACUUCUGUGUUCGAAAUAUUAUUUUAAUUUUCAAUUUUAUGUUAAGUUAGUCUCUCAUAUAUCUCUCCUUCCAAAAAAACAAAAGUAAUUUAUAUAUUUUGGAAGUUUAAACCAAUUUCCAUCUAUGGGAAUUGAAAUUAAACAGUAUGCCGGCACACAUUCAUUUUUCUUUCUUUUCAAUAAAAACAAAAAUGAUGGUGAGGAUUACAAUGCAACAUAACAACUCUUUUUAGUUCAACAACAUACCAAUUAUUGUUUCACUUCAAUCUAUUCUUUUUCUUUUUGACAACACAUCAAUUGUUUUUUACAACAUUACGAAAGUAUCAUUCAAAUAUAAAUUACUGAUCAAUUCUUACUUUAUAUAUAUAUAUAUAUAUAUUAUAUAGAAAAAAAGAGUCAAGUAUUAUUUUCUAUGGCACAAAUGUUUUUCUUUUUAAAUAAUUCUUUAUUUUUAUAAUCAUUAAAUUGUAUAUAUAUAUAUAUAUAUUAUUGUGAUAAGAAUUGCAUAGAUUGUGGGGUUGUAAAUGGAGAAGAGAGAAGAGAAGUAAGAGAACUGAAAACCCCAAAGUUCAGUUAAUUGAGAUUUACAAAGAUGUCGUAUGUUGUAGAUACGAUUUCAAAUCGCAUAGUAAUGAUAAUCAGUUUCGUUUUAUUGUUAGUAUUAUUAAUAUUGGGAUGGAAAAUAGUUGAUUGGAUUUGGUUCCGCCCGAAGAAACUAGAGAAGCUUUUAAGACGGCAAGGAUUCACCGGAAAUUCAUACCGGAUUCUCCACGGCGACUUGAAGGAGAGUGCCGCCAUGAGAAAGGAAGCAAUGUCCAAGCCCAUGAACUUCUCCAAUCAUAUUGCUCCACGUGUCAUUCCCUCUGUCUAUCAUACCAUCCAAAUUUAUGGUAAACACUUUAUCCCCAACAUUUCCUUCUCAUCCUUUUCUUCUUCUUCAAAUAAGAUUUAAAGAAAUAAAUAAAAAUUAGGGUUUGAUUUAUUUUAUUACAUUUUUGUUUUGUGUUUGAAAAUUAAUUUUAUAAACUUUUAUUAUUUCAUCUCUAUUUUCAAUCAAUCCUUUACAAAACCAUGUAAAUUUUUAAACACUAAAACUACCCUACUUUUUUUCCUUCUUAGAAUAAUUUACUUAUUUUUACUUGAGAAAAAUUAAAACGUGUAAGCAAAUGGAAGGCUUAAUUUAAUUUAAUUUAAUUUAA